AAACGUCUACAAUGGCAGCGCAGCCAGCAGCCACGCGGCCUUGGCCACCCCCGAGCUCACGGCCGCAGCUCGGCCCGGGCCCCCUGGACGUCCGCCCUGGGCAGGGGCCGCCGCCUCCGAACGCAUCUCUGCCUCCCUAGGACGAGGCAGCCGAGGGAGGAGAGCGGCCAGGACUGCGCUGUGGCUGGACGGCGGAUGAGGCUUCUUUCAACAAGCUGCUGCCCUGGGCGCACUGCCUUGCGGGUCACUGUGGCUGCUCCUGUGCUUCAGCGGGACUAGAAGCUGCCGCCCACGGGCAGCGGGGAAGAAAUCUGGGCAAAGCCAUGAGCCCUCCGAGGCUGAGCUCCAGUUUAGGGGCUCACCUGCCUUGCAUCGUUCCGAGUCCUGUACUGGACUGCAUCAGGCCGCGUCUCCUCAGGGUGAGUACUUGUGGCCUCAGGGUAAAGGGCUUUUCUCAGGACGCGAGGCCAUUGCUGGGAGAGGCAGAUUAGGCUGGGGAUCCGGACUCCGUUCCUAGCAUCUGCUACCUCAGGACGGAGACGAACAUGCUAUAAAAUGUUUAACCGUGUGAUAACAACUCUCCUAGAAAGGAAAGGGGAUGCCCCUGAGGAGACUCGGUGCUCCCCACAGAACUCCCCAGCGAUCCCAGAUGGGAGAAGCUGAGCUGCGCGGGCGCUGCCCUCACUCCGGGGGUGAAACGUGGCUGUGAUUUCCACAGGUGACAGAAACCAGGCAGUGAUUCAACUCGUAUUUGACUUUCACAUUCUCCAGCAAUGUUCUUCAAUCUGGGAAGGGUAGAAAAUUAAAGAAAGGUAAGGAGAGUUAAAAAAUGAGAUCAUUUCAAAGUAGAUGCAGUCUUGAAGCCCAAAUGAAUUACGAGAUCCAGUUUGAAAGCUGCUGCAGAAGUGAUUUCAGAAUCGCGCGGUGGCUCCGGAAUGGGGAACUGCUGCUGAAAGAGGUCGGAAAGGGUGGGGACUGAAUUUCGGGUAAGAGGACGCCAGUGGUUCUGGAGCACGCGGCCUUCAGCCAUGCCUGCGUUCACAAGUACAUUAUUUCAGACUCACUCCAAGUUUACAUCUCUAAGCCCAUCCAAGCCAUGGCAGCGCGAACCUCUCCCUCCCCCAGCUCAAGGCCUCUGGGCCCCCAGGACAGAGGACAGAAGAGCCAGCCCCUCCUGGCUCAGGGUUGCCGGGACCCCGUGAUGGCUGCUGUGCCUCUCCUGAGGUGCCAGGUGAGAGCUGAGACUUCUGCUCCCGCUGCACCAGCUCCGUUUGUCUCCAGGCGCAGUGUCAGUCUCGUUCUUUAAGCGCUUCUGAGGUCCCAUCAGCACAGGUCUCGUCUUACCUGGAAAGGCUUGUUGCCUUGUGCCUGGGACUUUUUAUUCUGUGCUUUUCUUCUGGAUAUUAAAUUUCAUAUCCACGCUUGCUUGUCACUCAGACCUUAUUGCCCUCUCCCUCCCAUUGGAACACUCUAGUCAUUUCUGUUUUCAACUGUAAACCAGUCUCAUUCAUGGUGAGAAAUUAAUGCUCCCUGGGUGUGGUCAGCAGACGGUAUCAAACCAUGCAAUCUUUUAAGGUCCAUUCAAACACAGACCUCCAAAAUGAUUUAUUGUUACACAUAUUAUGGUCAUAAGGCGUUUUCAAAUCAUAGGUAAACAGGACAGUGUAUGUGUGCAAAAGAAUGAUUGUGCCCAGAAAUCUCGGUAAACAGGUCAACUAAGAGCCCAAAAUAUAUUUCUAGAGUGCUUACACCCAGAAGUGAGUACUGAUUUGCUUUUAAUUAAUAUUUGGAAUGAAUGGGGUGCCAGGAGGACCCAAGUAUGAAGUAUUUAUGUGGGUGGUGAGACUAGGAGUGAUUUUGUUGUGUUUUUAUAUUUUAAAAAUUUUCUAAAAUGAAUGUGCAUUUAGUCCUCUAAAAAUAUAAGUGGUGUCCCAUUUAACAGUGCUACCAGUUGGAAAAAGGGAUUAACCCUAUUUACCCAAUUUAUUGUAUAUAAAGUUGUUGCUGUCAUUGUUGAAAUUAGGUGCUGCUAGAUUGUGCAAGUAUCAAAGUUCAAAAAAAGUGGGUCAUCUGAUUGGUUGUUGAUCACUGCAACAGCAAAGUUCUAGGCAAUUAAUGUUUUUGUUACUUUUGAAACAUAAGGGCAAGGAAUUAACAAAAAGUGUGUGGGACAGGGACAACUCCUCCCCUCUGGCCUCAUAACAAUGUUCUUGAAGUUUGCUUUUUCUUCUCUACCACUUGCAUUUGCUAAGCAGAAAGUGUUGGGGUGUGUACUCCACAGGAGUGGUUCACUGAGGUGAUGCUGCCCUGCACCAGCACCCUGAGGUGAGGAGACUGCUUUGGGGCAGGCAAGGGGCCAGGAGAGAGCAAACAAGUAUUAUUUUUCCUGUGUGUAGACUCAUAUUUAAUAAUUGUUGAAGAAAAAAGCCUUAACACCACAUGUAGCAAGUUUUAAUAGAGUUUUCUGAUUACCUUGGUCCCAUGGCUGACCAGUGACCGCCAUUAUGCCUGCAGAGAUGGGAUGGUGAGCCAUCAUUUCUCCUUCCUCUUUCCUGAAACUAGUUCUGAUACCAUCAGUGGCUUAGUCUCUAUAUGUCCAUCAGAUCCUGCCCAAUGCUGGGGACAAAACAUGAAUGAAAUGGAGUUACCCCUCAAAGAGCUCCCAGCUCUAAAGCCAUGAUCCUGUGCUCCAUCAAUACACAGGAGCAAGGGGGAAGGCAGAUGUUCCAGGAGGAGCAGAGAAGGCUUCACAGAGGGAGGCAGCACAGCCGACCUCAAGUGUGAAGGGAAGCUGCAGGGGAAGUGCAGAGCAGUCCCUUUCAGGCCAAGCAACAGCACAAAAUACCUUUGAGACAUAGACAUAUGAGAGGCACAGCUCAUUUGAGGAGCAUUGAAGAGUUUAGGGGCACAGAAUUAGACUUCAGGGUUAAGUUCAGGACCUGGGAUCAGAGUCUGGUAAGUUUAAAGGUUCUUGAAAUAAUUCUAGUAAAUAAAUAAAUGUGGUAAGACAGUGCAGCAGUACAGGUGCAGAAGCUUCAGAAGCCGUCCUUUCUCCUCUCCUCAUCCUCUUCCUUCCCUCUCAGCCCUAAACUGAGGCAGAGCGAAGAGGGCUCCAACUGGCAGAGGAAGAACUGGUGGGGCUUGGAGUUGGCUGUGGAGCCAAGCAGGGUGGUGAGGAAGGGUCCCCUGGGGAAGGUGAGAAUGGCCCCUGUCAGUGUGAGUGGGGCUGGGAGGCUGAGAGG
rnacentral:lncRNA from 1 species